GAUGAACGCUAGCUACAGGCUUAACACAUGCAAGUCGAGGGGAAACGGCAUCGAAAGCUUGCUUUUGAUGGGCGUCGACCGGCGCACGGGUGAGUAACGCGUAUCCAACCUGCCCAUCACUUGGGAAUAACCUUGCGAAAGUAAGACUAAUGCCCAAUGACAUCCCACGAAGGCAUCCGAAUGGGAUUAAAGAUUUAUCGGUGAUGGAUGGGGAUGCGUCUGAUUAGCUUGUUGGCGGGGUGACGGCCCACCAAGGCAACGAUCAGUAGGGGUUCUGAGAGGAAGGUCCCCCACAUUGGAACUGAGACACGGUCCAAACUCCUACGGGAGGCAGCAGUGAGGAAUAUUGGUAAAUGGGCGAGAGCCUGAACCAGCCAAGUAGCGUGCAGGAUGACGGCCCUAUGGGUUGUAAACUGCUUUUAUAAGGGAAUAAAGUGGGUCACGUGUGACUUUUUGCAUGUACCUUAUGAAUAAGGACCGGCUAAUUCCGUG
rnacentral:rRNA from 1 species